GACAUAUUAAGGUCUUAUGUUACGGCCAUAAGGUAGGUACGAUUUUAGCACCAUAUGUUU
rnacentral:tRNA from 1 species